GAUGAACGCUAGCGGCAGGCUUAAUACAUGCAAGUCGUGGGGCAGCAUGAGUAGCAAUACUUGAUGGCGACCGGCAAACGGGUGCGGAACACGUACACAACCUUCCGAUAAGUGGGGAAUAGCCCAGAGAAAUUUGGAUUAAUACCCCGUAACAUAUAGAGUAGGCAUCUUCUUUAUAUUAUAGCUUCGGCGCUUAUUGAUGGGUGUGCGUCUGAUUAGGUGGUUGGCGGGGUAACGGCCCACCAAGCCUACGAUCAGUAGCUGAUGUGAGAGCAUGAUCAGCCACACGGGCACUGAGACACGGGCCCGACUCCUACGGGAGGCAGCAGUAAGGAAUAUUGGACAAUGGGCGAAAGCCUGAUCCAGCCAUGCCGCGUGAAGGAUUAAGGUCCUCUGGAUUGUAAACUUCUUUUAUUUGGGACGAAAAAAGGGAAUUCUUUCCCACUUGACGGUACCAAGUGAAUAAGCACCGGCUAACUCCGUGCCAGCCGCCGCCGUAACAC
rnacentral:rRNA from 1 species